rnacentral:rRNA from 1 species
AGUGAACGCUGGCGGUAGGCCUAACACAUGCAAGUCGAACGGCAGCACAGUAAGAGCUUGCUCUUACGGGUGGCGAGUGGCGGACGGGUGAGGUAUGCAUCGGAAUCUACUUUUUCGUGGGGGAUAACGUAGGGAAACUUACGCUAAUACCGCAUACGACCUACGGGUGAAAGCAGGGGAUCUUCGGACCUUGCGCGAUUGAAUGAGCCGAUGUCGGAUUAGCUAGUUGGCGGGGUAAAGGCCCACCAAGGCGACGAUCCGUAGCUGGUCUGAGAGGAUGAUCAGCCACACUGGAACUGAGACACGGUCCAGACUCCUACGAGAGGCAGCAGUGGGGAAUAUUGGACAAUGGGCGCAAGCCUGAUCCAGCCGUACCGCGUGGGUGAAGAAGGCCUUCGGGUUGUAAAGCCCUUUUGUUGGGAAAGAAAAGCAGCAGGUUAAUACCCCGCUGUUCUGACGGUACCCAAAGAAUAAGCACCGGCUAACUUCGUG